GACGAACGCUGGCGGCGUGCUUAACACAUGCAAGUCGAACGGAAAGGCCCUGCUUUUGUGGGGUGCUCGAGUGGCGAACGGGUGAGUAACACGUGAGUAACCUGCCCUUGACUUUGGGAUAACUUCAGGAAACUGGGGCUAAUACCGGAUAGGAGCUCCUGCUGCAUGGUGGGGGUUGGAAAGUUUCGGCGGUUGGGGAUGGACUCGCGGCUUAUCAGCUUGUUGGUGGGGUAGUGGCUUACCAAGGCUUUGACGGGUAGCCGGCCUGAGAGGGUGACCGGCCACAUUGGGGCUGAGAUGCGGCCCAGACUCCUACGGGAGGCAGCAGUGGGGAAUAUUGCACAAUGGGCGGAAGCCUGAUGCAGCAACGCCGCGUGCGGGAUGACGGCCUUCGGGUUGUAAACCGCUUUCGCCUGUGACGAAGCGUGAGUGACGGUAAUGGGUAAAGAAGCACCGGCUAACUACGUG
rnacentral:rRNA from 1 species